AGAGUUUGAUCCUGGCUCAGGAUGAACGCUGGCGGUAUGCUUAACACAUGCAAGUCGAACGAGAGUUUUUAACUCUAGUGGCGAACGGGUGAGUAAUACGUGAGAAUCUGCCCUUAGGAGGAGAAUAACUGCUGGAAACGGCAGCUAAGUCUCCAUAUGCCGAGAGGUGAAAUAGUUUACACUGCCUAAGGAUGAGCUCGCGCCUGAUUAGCUUGUUGGUGAGGUAACGGCUUACCAAGGCCACGAUCAGUAGCUGGUUUGAGAGAACGAUCAGCCACACUGGGACUGAGACACGGCCCAGACUCCUCCGGGAGGCAGCAGUGAGGAAUUUUCCGCAAUGGGCGAAAGCCUGACGGAGCAAUACCGCGUGAGGGAUGAAGGAUUUUGGUCUGUAAACCUCUUUUCUCAAGAAAGAAGUUCUGACGGUACUUGAGGAAUAAGCAUCGGCUAACUCCGUGCCAGCAGCCGCGGUAAUACGGGGGAUGCAAGCGUUAUCCGGAAUCAUUGGGCGUAAAGCGCCUGUAGGUUGUUUAAUAAGUCUGUUGUUAAAGACUAGGGCUCAACCCUAGAAAAGCAAUGGAAACUAAUAGACUAGAGUAUGGCAGGGGUAGAGGGAAUUUCUAGUGUAGCGGUGAAAUGCGUAGAUAUUAGAAAGAACACCGGUGGCGAAAGCGCUCUACUGGACCAUUACUGACACUCAGAGGCGAAAGCUAGGGGAGCAAAAGGGAUUAGAUACCCCUGUAGUCCUAGCCGUAAACGAUGGAUACUAGAUGUUGCGCAAUUUGUGCAGUAUCUUAGCUAACGCGUUAAGUAUCCCGCCUGGGGAGUACGCUCGCAAGGGUGAAACUCAAAGGAAUUGACGGGGGCCCGCACAAGCGGUGGAGCAUGUGGUUUAA
rnacentral:rRNA from 1 species